rnacentral:miRNA from 1 species
CACCUCUCCUGGCAUCGCCCC